CUAAGAGAAUUAUUGACUUUUAAGAAAGAAUUUUCAAUCUCCUUUUAGGUAACUCCACUUUUGCAAGUCUACUCACAUUGCCAGUCCCAAACUCGAAUAAAGGAGUACAACAAUGCUGACGAUUAGCAUAUAAUUAAUCAAUUUAUGAUAAAUCCGAAUAAUUCAAAGUCAAAAUGUUCAACAAGAAUUCAUAUACCCAAUACCAUCUUACCUGAGAUUGAGCAUAAUU
rnacentral:lncRNA from 1 species